GACGAACGCUGGCGGCGUGCUUAACACAUGCAAGUCGAGCGGUAAGGCCCUUUCGGGGGUACACGAGCGGCGAACGGGUGAGUAACACGUGGGUGACCUGCCCUCAGCUCUGGGAUAAGCCUGGGAAACCGGGUCUAAUACCGGAUAUGACUCCAUGACGCAUGUUGUGGGGUGGAAAGCCUUGUGCGGCUGAGGAUGGGCCCGCGGCCUAUCAGCUUGUUGGUGGGGUGAUGGCCUACCAAGGCGACGACGGGUAGCCGGCCUGAGAGGGCGACCGGCCACACUGGGACUGAGACACGGCCCAGACUCCUACGGGAGGCAGCAGGUGGGGAAUCUUGCGCAAUGGGCGAAAGCCUGACGCAGCGACGCCGCGUGAGGGAUGACGGCCU
rnacentral:rRNA from 1 species